rnacentral:rRNA from 1 species
GACGAACGCUGGCGGCGUGCUUAACACAUGCAAGUCGAACGGAAAGGCCCUGCUUUUGUGGGGUGCUCGAGUGGCGAACGGGUGAGUAACACGUGAGUAACCUGCCCUUGACUUUGGGAUAACUUCAGGAAACUGGGGCUAAUACCGGAUAGGAGCUCCUGCUGCAUGGUGGGGGUUGGAAAGUUUCGGCGGUUGGGGAUGGACUCGCGGCUUAUCAGCUUGUUGGGGGGGUAGUGGCUUACCAAGGCUUUGACGGGUAGCCGGCCUGAGAGGGUGACCGGCCACAUUGGGACUGAGAUACGGCCCAGACUCCUACGGGAGGCAGCAGUGGGGAAUAUUGCACAAUGGGCGGAAGCCUGAUGCAGCAACGCCGCGUGCGGGAUGACGGCCUUCGGGUUGUAAACCGUUUUCGCCUGUGACGAAGCGUGAGUGACGGUAAUGGGUAAAGAAGCACCGGCUAACUACGUG